rnacentral:rRNA from 1 species
AGAGUUUGAUCCUGGCUCAGCCUGAACGCUGGCGGCGUGGUUAAGACAUGCAAGUCGCACGGGAGCAGCAAUGCUCUAGUGGCGCAAGGGUGAGUAAUGUAUCGCUAACGUACCCUGGACACUGGGAUAGCUGCCCGAAAGGGCAGGUAAUACCAGAUGAAAUAUCCGGACCGCAUGGUUUGGAUCUCAAAGGAGCAAUCCGGUCUGGGCGCGGGCGAUAUCGUAUCAGCUAGUUGGUGAGGUAACGGCUCACCAAGGCGACGACGCGUAGCCGGACUGAGAGGUCGGUCGGCCACAUCGGGACUGAGACACUGCCCGGACUCCUACGGGGGGCUGCAGUAACGAAUCUUCCCCAAUGGGCGCAAGCCUGAGGGAGCGACGCCGCGUGGAGGAUGAAGUCCUUCGGGAUGUAAACUCCUGUCAGGGGUUACCAAGUUCUGAGGAGCCCCAAAGGAAGAGGCGGCUAACUCUGUGCCAGCAGCCGCGGUAAGACAGAGGCCUCAAGCGUUAGGCGGAAUCACUGGGCUUAAAGCGUGUGUAGGCGGAUCGUUAAGUGCCUUGUGAAAUCCCACGGCUUAACUGUGGAACGGCUGGGCAUACUGGCGGUCUUGAGCCAUCUAGGGGCGACUGGAACAAACGGUGGAGCGGUGAAAUGCGUAGAUAUCGUUUGGAACGCCAAUGGUGAAAACAGGUCGCUGGGGAUGAGCUGACGCUGAGACACGAAAGCCAGGGGAGCAAACGGGAUUAGAUACCCCUGUAGUCCUGGCCCUAAACGAUGUCCACUAGAUCAUGGUUCCUCUGACGGAUUCAUGGUCGAAGCAAAAGUGCUAAGUGGACCGCCUGGGAAGUACGGUCGCAAGGCUAAAACUCAAAGGAAUUGACGG